rnacentral:lncRNA from 1 species
AAAUAAGCUUUUUUUAAUGCUCCUCUGCCUCUUUAAUGUAAAUUAGCUAAGCAGGAGGACUCUGUGGAAACUUUACGUUAACAGCAAACCCUCUUGACGUACGAAAAGAAAACGUGAGGCAACACUAAAGAUGGAGGUUUUAUAAUAGUAUUUUGAAGGGAAUAUUUCGUUUUCAUUUAAAGUUUUUUGCUGUUAGAACCGCGGAGCGUCGGAGGUUUGGAGUUGCUUGGAGUUCUUUACUGGUGGUUACCGUCAUCUGAAGAAACUGGUCACUGCAACUCCAGCAGAUGCAGAGAGAAGCCUCUCUCUGCCCAGUACCCCAAGACUGAUUGCACUUGGUUCAUUCUGAGAAUAAACCCUGAUGGCACCAAAUCAAAGAUCAGCCGGGCAUCUGGAAAAAGGAGUGCAGAGAAAAAUCGCCAGCCUGAAUCCCCUUUGUGGCAUCUUUCAUCAGAGAGCUUGUUGAAUUCGAUUGGCCAAAUUAUUGAAAGAAAACACGACUAAAACAUGUUUUUACUGUUUGAUUUGUUCUACUUUUCAGAAUGUUUACAUUUUUAGCCAUGUUACAAAUACACAGGAUGAAUUCAAACACAUUUUUAGAAUGUACUUUUUAAAGUAAAUGUUAAAUAAUGAAAUAGUUAAACAAUGAAACAGCACAUUUUAAUGACAAAUGUUUAUGAGAACUUAUGAAUUUUUUGGGGAGUAAAAAACUUAGUUUACAGCUAGUGACUAGUUACACCUGUUGUUAAUUUCAUUAAUUGGUUUGUCUUUUUAUACUCUGUGUUUGGUUUGUUGCUUUGUUUUCUGAGUAUUUUGAGUUCUAUCUUAAAUAAAACUUUGACUGCUGCGAUUAGAUCUGUUUCAUCAACUUUAUUGCAACCUUACCUGUGACAUGUAGAU